UACUCUGUGUGUCGAGUCGAUCGCGCCCACUGAUGUGGGCGCCAGGGAACUCCGGUGGAAAUCCGGGACUGGCGCGCAGCGGUGAAGGUGACGGGGCCGGCACGAGACCCACUGGGGAGACCCGGGAAGGGGCCGGUCCCGGGUGAUCCGAGUCCGAAGACCUGUCGGCUCGCCCGUCCGCUC
rnacentral:ncRNA from 2 species